AUGGAGGACGGCACGGUGGUGCGGGGACUCGCCGGGGUGCCCGAGGAUGGGCCGGUGCUGCUGUUCAUGCGGCAUAAGAAGGUCGUGGUCCAUGGCAUCGCGCACCCGCUGCUGUUCCCGAAGAAGACGAAGACAUGGUCGGAGGGACACGAUUUAUUCGACUUCCUCAACCUGUGGGGAGGCGUGCGCAUGACCUACAAGUACAUAUACGAGUUGCUAGCAGCUGGGGAGUUCGGUGAAGAGCACAGGAUUUUCUGGCCAGAACAGAUUGAAUUUGUUAGGAUGGCAGCGCAGUGCAAUGCCACAAUAGUGCCAUUUGGAGUCGUCGGAGAGGAUGACAUCGUGAAUGAGCGCGCCAUUCUAGAAGGAGAUAAUGAGGGCCUACAGGAUGCCAAGCACGAGGUGAUCUUCCCCGGUGUGUGCAUGAAGAUCCCGGGCCGGUUCUACUACCGGUUCGGGAAGCCGAUCCCAAUGAGGGGCAGGCAGGACGUCCUCACCGACCGUCGGGCCGCGACGGUUCUCUAUGCGCACAUCAAGUCGGAGGUGAAAGGCAUCAUCUCAUACCUUCUGGAGAAGCGGGAGGAGGACGAGUACAGAAAGAUCUCACGGAGGCUCAUGUUUAUGGCUUCCCAGGGGUUCAACACCCAAGUUCCAUUGUUCGAUCCUGGACAUACGCUAGUUGCCACAUGGAAUGAGAAUGUCGCUACUGAAUUUUCAUUUUUCGACCUUUAUGCAAAAUAA
rnacentral:rRNA from 1 species